rnacentral:rRNA from 1 species
GAUGAACGCUGGCGGCGUGCCUAAUACAUGCAAGUCGAGCGAACAGACGAGGAGCUUGCUCCUCUGACGUUAGCGGCGGACGGGUGAGUAACACGUGGAUAACCUACCUAUAAGACUGGGAUAACUUCGGGAAACCGGAGCUAAUACCGGAUAAUAUAUUGAACCGCAUGGUUCAAUAGUGAAAGACGGUUUUGCUGUCACUUAUCGAUGGAUCCGCGCCGCAUUAGCUAGUUGGUAAGGUAACGGCUUACCAAGGCGACGAUGCGUAGCCGACCUGAGAGGGUGAUCGGCCACACUGGAACUGAGACACGGUCCAGACUCCUACGGGAGGCAGCAGUAGGGAAUCUUCCGCAAUGGGCGAAAGCCUGACGGAGCAACGCCGCGUGAGUGAUGAAGGCCUUCGGAUCGUAAAACUCUGUUAUUAGGGAAGAACAAAUGUGUAAGUAACUAUGCACGUCUUGACGGUACCUAAGCAGAAAGCCACGGCUAACUACGUG